GUGGGGAAUAUUGGACAAUGGGGGGAACCCUGAUCCAGCCAUGCCGCGUGUGUGAAGAAGGCCUUUUGGUUGUAAAGCACUUUAAGCGAGGAGGAGGCUACCGAGAUUAAUACUCUUGGAUAGUGGACGUUACUCGCAGAAUAAGCACCGGCUAACUCUGUGCCAGCAGCCGCGGUAAUACAGAGGGUGCAAGCGUUAAUCGGAUUUACUGGGCGUAAAGCGCGCGUAGGUGGCCAAUUAAGUCAAAUGUGAAAUCCCCUAGCUUAACUUGGGAAUUGCAUUCGAUACUGGUUGGCUAGAGUAUGGGAGAGGAUGGUAGAAUUCCAGGUGUAGCGGUGAAAUGCGUAGAGAUCUGGAGGAAUACCGAUGGCGAAGGCAGCCAUCUGCCCUAAUACUGACACUGAGGUGCGAAAGCAUGGGGAGCAAACAGGAUUAGAAACCCGGGUAGUCC
rnacentral:rRNA from 1 species